UACAGAGGGUGCAAGCGUUGUUCGGAAUCACUGGGCGUAAAGCGCGCGCAGGCGGAUGGUUGCGUCCGGAGUGAAAUUUCGCCGCUCAACGGCGAAGCUGCUUUGGAUACGGACCGUCUAGGGACCGGUAGAGGCUGGUAGAAUUCCAGGUGUAGCGGUGAAAUGCGUAGAUAUCUGGAGGAACACCGGUGGCGAAGGCGGCGUCCUGGACCGUAACUGACGCUGAGGAGCGAAAGCGUGGGGAGCGAACAGG
rnacentral:rRNA from 1 species